UCUCUCUGGUGUUGGCAGCAAGCUCUAAAAUGAGGUUUUCGAAGAAUAAGAGUGGAAAGGUCUCUGUGCGCAGGCAGAACUGAGUUUGGCUUGGAGUUUUGUGUGUUUAAUUUCCGGUGAGUCAUGAUGAUGUCCACACACAACAGCAUCCAGAAGUGUUCCGUCUUUUGCUCUAAACCUAAAGAAUUUUCAGCUUUUGUUGUGUUUGCCUCAUUGGACUUAUAGCCAACCAGUGAAUUAAAAUACAUGGAGGUUUUUUGAUUGGUUGGUUGGUUUAUUCUGGUUUGUUUAUCUCAUGAAUUUGUUUUUGACGUCCUAAGCACCUGAAGAACUAUAGGUAACAGUGGUUCCUUUUCCUCACUCUCCUGGGAACUAAGACUAUCGCACAACAAAUAAACCUAAGUUGGUUUUAUAGUAUUUUGUUUAUUAUUUAUUGUAACAAUUAGGAUCUAGUGUUUAUAGCCAUUCACUUAAAAAUGGAGAGUCCAACUUAAGAUGAACUUCAUAAUGCAUGCUUUCUGACUUAAUAUGGGGCUUGGCUAUAAAAUCUUAGAUGAGUGAUUAGUACAAAAAUAAAAGAUGUUCAUUAUUUAAUAAUACUAGAAUAAGGGAAGGGUGUAUGUAUGAGGUGGCUUAGCAGUUAAAACAUUUGCUGUGUUAGCAAGAGGACUAAGUUCUGGCCCCCACUCCCCCAUAAAUGGCAAGUGGUUAUGGCAGGUCACCUGUACUUCCAGUCUAGGAAGGUCAGACACAAGAUCCCUAGAGCAAGCUGGUUAGCAAGCUGGCUUUGGUGAAUUUGACGGAAGACCCUGCCUCAAAAAAAAGGUUGAGGAAUCCAGGAAGAUUCCUAAGUCCAGUUUCCACUGCACACUCAUCUGCACACACACACAAUUCAAAUAAGGCAGAGACAGGAGACUCAGCACAAGCUUAAGGCAAGGCUAGUCUUACAUAGUGAGACCCUGUCCCAAAAUGGGGGUUGGGAGGUAAAGAUUAAGAACACUAGGGCUGGAGAACUGGCUCAGCAGUUAAGAGCACUGACUGCUCUUCCAGAGGUCCUGAGUUCAGUUCCCAGCAACCACAUGGUGGCUCACAACCAUCUGCAAUGGGAUCUGAUGCCCUCUUCUGGUGUGUCUGAGUCACUGUACUCAAAUAAUAAAGUAAAUAAUUCUUU
rnacentral:lncRNA from 1 species